AAACCAUGAUGAGGGCAGUCUCUCUUAUACUCUUUAAAUCGCUCCCAAGCUUCAUUCUAUUGGGCCU
rnacentral:snoRNA from 1 species